rnacentral:ncRNA from 2 species
CCAAUAGCGUAUAUUAAAGUUGUUGCAGUUAAAAAGCUCGUAGUUGAAUUUCGGGAUUGACGUGAUGGUCGUGCCUUAAGGGGUAUGAACUGUCGCAGUUGAUUUCUCACCUUCUGGAGAAGCAUGAUGUCCUUAAUUGGGUGUCAUGUGGAACCAGGACCUUUACCUUGAAAAAAUUAGAGUGUUUAAAGCAGGCAUUUUGCUCGAAUACAUUAGCAUGGAAUAAUAGAAUAGGACGGCAUGGUUCUAUUUUGUUGGUUUCUAGGAUCACCGUAAUGAUUAAUAGGGAUAGUUGGGGGCAUUAGUAUUCAAUUGUCAGAGGUGAAAUUCUUGGAUUUAUUGAAGACUAACUACUGCGAAAGCAUUUGCCAAGGAUGUUUUCAUUAAUCAAGAACGAAAGUUAGGGGAUCGAAGACGAUCAGAUACCGUCGUAGUCUUAACCAUAAACUAUGCCGACUAGGAAUCAGACGAUGUUAAUUUUUUAAUGACUCGUUUGGCACCUUACG